GUGAGGAAUAUUGGUCAAUGGGCGAGAGCCUGAACCAGCCAAGUCGCGUGAAGGAAGACGGCCCUACGGGUUGUAAACUUCUUUUGCAAUGGAAUAAAAAGAGUUACGUGUAAUUCAUUGUAUGUACAUUGCGAAUAAGGAUCGGCUAACUCCGUGCCAGCAGCCGCGGUAAUACGGAGGAUCCGAGCGUUAUCCGGAUUUAUUGGGUUUAAAGGGUGCGUAGGCGGAUUGGAAAGUCAGCGGUGAAAGUUUGCAGCUUAACUGUAAAAUUGCCAGUGAAACUGUCAGUCGUGAGUGCAAAUGAGGUAGGCGGAAUGUGUUGUGUAGCGGUGAAAUGCAUAGAUAUAACACAGAACACCAAUUGCGAAGGCAGCUUACUGGGAUGCAACUGACGCUGAGGCACGAAAGCGUGGGGAUCAAACAGGAUUAGAUACCCUAGUAGUCC
rnacentral:rRNA from 1 species